rnacentral:rRNA from 1 species
UAACUGAAGAGUUUGAUCAUGGCUCAGAUUGAACGCUGGCGGCAGGCUUAACACAUGCAAGUCGAGCGGGGGAAGGUAGCUUGCUACUGGACCUAGCGGCGGACGGGUGAGUAAUGCUUAGGAAUCUGCCUAUUAGUGGGGGACAACAUCUCGAAAG